rnacentral:ribozyme from 1 species
UUCUCAGCAACUCCUAUUCCUACCUCCUCGUGGCACCGGCUGGACUGCGAAUAAGGAAAAAGGGAAGA